GUGCUACUUCCUCUAUUCAGAAUUACUUGUCGCAAAAAUGAAUGUAUCUAGACCUAUUUUAGUUUUAGAUAUAUCAAUUUUCAUGACAAGUAAUUCCGAAUGGAAGGAGUACAUG
rnacentral:pre_miRNA from 1 species